UGGGGGGGAUCGCGACUAUGGGGGCGAUGAGGGUUCAACCUGCAAAGAUGUGUAAUCUUACUUACACCCCUCCCAUAAUAAUACUAAGUUGAGUUCAUUGGGGAAUGAGGUAAGGAAGGUUUUCAGAGUGUGUGCGAUAGCACUGUUAUUAGAAAAAUUAGAGCCAGCGUUGGGUGCGUGUACUUUUUGCAUGAUGGGCAGUCAAUAGGGGGGAGGGCGUUGCCCUCCACUAGAAGUAGAAGGAUUCUACAGCCUCCCACAAUCUCCCGGCACAAAGGGAGGGAGGUAAGGGGGCUGUAUGUUAAGUGAUAUGUUAAAUAGUUUCUAUGAUAGUGAAGUAGUGGUUAAAAAGAGAGAAGUGGGUGUCAUAGGAGAAUGGCACUUUUGGUAGUGAGGGACAGCUUCAUUACCACAAAUAAGUACAGUGUGCGUUCAAUAGUGGGAAGUUGUAUGGGUUUCAAAGUUACUUCGCCCUUAGGGGCGCUGAGUGUGGUGUGUUCAAACAGGUGUGUUAUAGUGGUAGUAAUAGUAUUGUAGUUAGGUAAACCAUGAAAGUCAUUAGGAUUGCUAGAGUAUUUUUUAUCCUUAGCUCAAAUGAGUUGCAGAUAUUUGUGGGUGCUAUUGUGAGGUUAAGGCCUCAAAGAGAACUAACAAUGCGAUCCCGAGGUUUACUAAAUACCCGGCUCUCCGAGCCCUAUGGGGGGUCACCGCUCACUACGAGGCUCUGACUGAGCACGAAUUACUAGCUUGCAUGAUUACAAGUUAGGGAGGUGGGUGGGGGAUUAUUUAUUUUCUUUGAGGCAAGAAAAGAACCAGAUUAGCUUGUUAACAAUCAAGCGUGGUGUAGCAGGACGAAAAGACCCUAGGUGGUUUAGAAUUUAUUCCCCUUAUGGGGGAGAUUCUGUUAUUGGGGUAAUAGCCUUAGAUGGUUACCGAUAGGUAAGAGAAGGUAGUUAAGGUUAGAGUAGUGACUCUUUUUGAGAGUGUGUAUUACACACGUUAAUGAAGCGGACUGUGUGAGGAUCGCAGUCCGGUGGAAGGUAAACCAACCCUAGGGUUAACAGCGCUAUAGACUAUUGCAGAUCCUAUGUGGUAGUGUGUUUACGACCUCGAUGUCGGCUCAGGUGGAAUCCUCGGCGCAGUAGCCGAGGGGUUAUGUAUGUUCGCCAUUUAGACACUUACGUGAGCUGGGUUAAGAGCGGAGAGAUUUAGUUUGGUUUUUAUCUGCUGUUGGGUCUCCCCCUAGUACGAAAGGAAGCGGGGGGGUUUGUUAUU
rnacentral:rRNA from 1 species